rnacentral:rRNA from 1 species
UACGGGGGGAGCAAGCGUUGUUCGGAUUUACUGGGCGUAAAGGGCGCGUAGGCGGCCAGCACAAGUCAGUUGUGAAAUCUCCGAGCUUAACUCGGAAAGGUCAACUGAUACUGUGCGGCUAGAGUGCGGAAGGGGCAACUGGAAUUCUUGGUGUAGCGGUGAAAUGCGUAGAUAUCAAGAGGAACACCUGCGGCGAAGGCGGGUUGCUGGGCCGACACUGACGCUGAGGCGCGAAAGCGUGGGUAGCAAACAGG